GACGAACGCUGGCGGCGUGCCUAAUACAUGCAAGUCGAACGCAGUGGGGACGGGUGAGUAACACGUGGGUAACCUCCCAUCAGAGGGGAUAACACUUGGAAACAAGUGCUAAACCGAUACUGGUUGAUGGACCCGCGGUGCAUUAGCUAGUUGGUGGGGUAAAGGCUAACCAAGGCCACGAUGCAUAGCGGAGCUGAGAGGGGGACCGGCCACACUGGGACUGAGACACGGCCCAGACUCCUACGGGAGGCAGCAGUAGGGAAUCUUCGACAAUGGGCGAAAGUCUGAUGGAGCAACGCCGCGUGAGUGAAGAAGGUUUUCGGAUCGUAAAGCUCUGUUGUUGGAGAAGCGGUAUCCAACCAGAAAGCCACGGCUAACUCCGUGCCAGCAGCCGCGGUAAUUC
rnacentral:rRNA from 1 species